rfam:Schistosoma margrebowiei strain Zambia genome assembly, scaffold: SMRZ_scaffold0003531
AUCCAGCUGACGAGUUCCAAGUGGGACGAAACGCAAAUCCUGGAU